UUGGAUCGAGCGCUGGUGCUUCUUCUACAUAGUUGAGGAUACACAUAGAAUUAUUCAGUUCCAGACAGUAUGGCAGCUUGGCACUACGAAGGAGCCAUGACUACACCUGUCAACAUGGGUGUUACUCCCUCCGUCCGAAAAUACUUGUCAUCAAAAUGGAUAAAAAGAAAUGUAUCUAAAACUAAAAUACGUCUAGAUACAUCCUCUUUUAUCCAUUUUGAUGACAAGUAUUUCCGGACGGAGGAAGUAUAUUUUUGCGAAUGUCAACACGGCUAUGUGCAGUGUGUGGUUUGGAUCCAUGUGAUUGCAUUUUUUUGGAGCGGUUGUAGUUGCAUGUGGCAAUCCCUAUUCGGCUAUUUCGCUAGCGGCCCGUGAAGCGCGCACCUCCUCUCGUUAGCCGGCCGGCCUACAUAUCUUUUUUUUUCUGAGUUGCUAAAUCACGAAAAUGAAAUUGUGAAUGAUGGGAUUCGAACCGCAAAGCUACAAUUUCAAGAGCAAAGGCAUUUACCAAGUGGACUAGCGUCAUGUUCAUACCUAGUUUGUUUUUGGUAAACCCUUGUGUGCGGCGCGCCGACCGAACUUUCCGCCGGACGCGUC
rnacentral:lncRNA from 1 species